rnacentral:lncRNA from 15 species
AUUUCUCCUAAGGGGGAAAAAUAAAGGAAUAUCUUAUCUUAUCUUAUCUUACUGUAUAUAGUUUUAUGUUUUCUUACACGCCUUAAUUCUCAAGAAGGCUUUGCGACACCCUGUGAAGCUUUGGCGACCCCUAGUGGGCGUCCUGACCUCAAGGUUGGGAAUCAGUGUUUUAGACAACAAUGUUCUUCUUCCAACUUAACAACAGAGGGGUAUUGCACAAAACCAAGAUAAGGGAUUAAGCCGGGAUAUGUUAGUUAUCCUGGCUGAAUUUAGCCUCAAGUCGGUUGCAUGAAAGCAGGUCAAAUUUAUCCUAUUACUAUGGUGAUUUAUUCUCUGCAGCUAGCCUGCUCCAGACCAGAUUAAUCCUAGUGAUUCACCUGUAUUUCCAUCGUCAAUCCUGUGAGGAAUUAAUGUGUUUUACAGCAUGUCCAUGGUCUUUCUAAGUAUGUUACAUCAUUUUAAUUAUCCUGCAUUAAAAUAUAUCAUAUAUAUUGUCAUUACUCAUUUAAUUUAAAUCUGUUGGCUGUUUGUAAUUGCAACAGUCUUUUUAUAUUGAUUCAAGUGGUAGUAUUAUUACUCAGGACAAGUGUUAUAUUGCUAUGCUAAUGAAGACUGCUUGUCAAAAUGCCGUCAGAGGUUUCAUAAAUAUGUGUUUUAUUGCAGUAAUUGAGAUUACAAAACACAGCUGAUGAAGUUGCAAUGGUGUUUUCAAUGAAAUCUGUGACAAGGGCAAUAUAGUAUAUAUAUAUACAUAUAUAUAUAUGUAUAUAUAUAUGUAUAUAUACAUCUAGUACAUAGUGUUUUUUCUUAUUUCCCUACUCUUACUGUUUAUUUAUACUGUUUUCUCUCUAUCCACUUUGCUGCUGUUACAUUGGAAUUUCCCCAUUGUGGGACAAAUAAAGGAAUUUAUUUCUAUCUAUCUAUCUAUCUAUCUAUCUAUCUAUCUAUCUAUCUAUCUAUCUAUCUAUCUAUCUAUCUAUCUAUCUAUCCAACUCCCAUUCACCUGUUCCGUCUUCAUAAUGGCUUACCCUUUCUUGGGAUUCUUGAGGAUGUACUGGAUGAGGAAGCCCUAAUCCUCAGACGAGCAUUUAGUCAUGAAAGAGUCUUCCGGGACAGGUCAGACCCAUUGGCCGUUGGAGAUGACUAUCUCAUUGAGAGAUACAGAUUCUCAGUGAAGAGCAGGUGGAUGUUGAGUUGGUGCAGAGGGGCGAUGUGGUGAAAGUCGUUCCUGGAGGGAAGUUUCCGGUAGAUGGGAGAGUUAUUGAGGGACACUCCAUGGCUGACGAGUCUCUCAUCACAGGUUGGUCACAGUGAGUGAAGGGACAAAUAUNCAUUAGUAUUGAUUAAUGGCUCC